rnacentral:lncRNA from 1 species
ACACACACACACACACACGAGCAAGGCUGCCUGAACCAUUAUUCGGAGCUGAUGCCCAACAGUUUCACUCUGAGACACAGAAUUACAGAUCACAGACAGCUAGAGCUGGAAUGAAGGAUGAGCAUAUAGAGAGUUUCCUAGACAACUAAUACCACAAAUAAAGACACACAAAUAAGGAUACUCGGCUAAGUAUCACCCUCAAUUUCCCCAAGUCCUGGUGCCAGUAAAUCUAUGUUCCUUUUCCAUCCUUUGGACAGAAACUAUGUCAUGUUUUGGUGUAUAAUAGCCUCUCCCCUCUCCCUCUACACAAAAGGAAUCCAAAAUCAUACUGCAGGAGGCACACCUGUGCUGCUAGGUCAUCUUCAAGACCUAAAAUUAGAGAUGGUGUUCCCCCGCCCCGGGUGGUCAAAUCCCAGACGCACAAGUCCUGCCAAGGUACCAGCUUAUCCAUUUUACCAGUAAUUUUCUGUAACAGCAGUCACCAUCAUUAUCAUCCACGGGCCACGGAGCUGCUUGGAAGCAGAGCCUUUCCUGAGCAUGAAAGAGGAUACUUGACUACACAUGACUGGACUAGAAAGCCCCUAAGGUCUUUUUAGUAAUUGAUAUUAUUGUAAUUCAGUUGGGUUUUGUACCUGGUUACACCAUCAUAUGUUGGAGUUUUUUUCCUCUAUCAAGCUUUCUGACGACUGAAAAGAACGAAUGAAUGUAGAAUGAUAAACAGUGGCUCAAUGGGGUCUCCACAUAAAUGGGGACCACAGAGUAAUUAUGGCCCCUCCGCUCACAGGUUUUGCCUCUGAAAACAAGAUAUGGGACCAUGCCCAGUUUCCGCUCAUCCUAUACGGGAGAAUGUUGGUGAUCAGCGCCCUAUAUAUAAGGCUCCAGGCCUUGGUCUACUUCACGUCUGGGGCCACCACCCAGGUAAGUAUCACCCUCUAUUUCCCCAAGUGGUGGCCAGAAGGAUGAUGUGCUGAGUGGGACUGGCUUCCCCUCAUCAGAGGAGAGUAGCAAAGACAUGAUUGAGAAUUCAGUCUUCCACGGAUAUAAGAGAUGACAGGAAACUGCACCAUGAAAAAAAGUCAGCUGGAUAACUCAUGAGACCUGGCUUUUGUCCAGUGUGGCCAUUACUUCUCCUCUGUUCUGGGCAAGAUAUUUCUCCUCUCAUUCUUCCCAUCUACCAAACAAAGGGACUAGGUGAAAUGAUUUCUAAGAGCCCUGCCAGCUUUGAUUGAUGUUUAGUAGGUCUCUUUCCUUUGCAAGUGACUGAAAUCCAAUCUAAACUGGCCUAGGUUUUAAAACAAAAAGAAGUCCGUGCAUAUAGCUAACUUCGGGCAUAGCUGGAGCCAGCUAGUCAAGUGGUAUCCCCAGGUCUCCGUCUCUCUCCAUCUCUCAGGUUUGUUUUUCUUCAUGGACUUUCUUCAAGGACCCUCUUCACAUACAGUUUGCUGUGGGUUUACAGUAAACCCAUUGGGUUUACUGGAGCAUAUGACUGCCAGCACCCCUUGGACAGGCCUUUCUCUCAUCAGGCCCAAGGUAAAGAGUUUCUCUAUUUCAGAAGGUCUAUUAAAUCCUUGGAAUUAAUGCUGAUAGCCCCAGCUAGAGUCAUGUUUCAUUCUGAACCAGUACUGUGGCUGGUAGGUAAAACAGGCUGAUUGUCUGGGCCUGGAUUACACCCCUUGCUGGAGUGGUGGUGGGGGGAUCCUGAACCUAGUGGACUGAGAGUGGGGGCAAAACCAGCUCAGCUGUGAAACUUAAGAAAAAGUUAACAUAAACCAAGACACAUAGACAUUUAUCUUAAGUAAAGGUGGGAACCGGGGGCUCAAGGUCUCAGGGACCAAGAGCGCUGCCUCAAGAAACCACACUGCUUUUAUUGUGCUCUUUGGGAUUACGUCAAGUGAGGAGGGGGUUGUAGGUGCAGGAUGUAGUUCUUUUAUUAUUUUAAUUCGUUAUUAUUAUUUUUUUUUUUUUUUUGUCUUUUUGCUAUUUCUUGGGCCGCUCCCACGGCAUAUGGAGUUUCCCAGGCUAGGGGUCUAAUCGGAGCUGUAGCUGCCAGCCUAUGCCAGAGCCACAGCAAUGAGGGAUCCGAGCCGCGUCUGCAACCUACACCACAGCUCACGGCAACGCCGGAUCGUUAACCCACUGAGCAAGGCCAGGGAUCGAACCUGCAACCUCAUGGUUCCUAGUCGGAUUCGUUAACCACUGCACCACGACGGGAACUCCCGUUAUUAUUUUUUAAUAGUUAUUUCCCCAAUAUAAUUUUUUUCCUACUGUACAGCAUGGUAAAUAUAUGCCCCUAAUAUAGGAGCACCCAGAUACCUACAACAAAUACUAACAUACAUAAAAGGAGAAAUCAAUGGGAAUACAAUAUAGUAGGAGACUUUAACACCCCACUCACAACAAUGGACAGAUCCUCUAGACAUAAAAUCAGUAAGGCAACGGAGAUCCUAAAGGACACAAUAGAAAAGUUAGACCUAAUUGAUAUUUUUAGGACAUUACAUCCCAAAAAAAAUCAGAAUAUACAUUCUUCUCAAGUGCACAUGGAACAUCCUCAGGAAUUGAUCACAUACUGGGGCACAAAGUUAACCUCAACAAUUUAAGAAUAUAGAAAUUAUUUAAAGUAUCUCCUCUGACCACAAUGGCAUGAAACUAGAAAUCAACCACAGGAAAAGCAAUGAGAAAAAAACUUACUACAUGGAGACUGAACAAUAUGCUACUAAAAAGCCAAUGGGUCAAUGGGAAAUUAAGAAGGAAAUUAAAAAAAUACCUCAAGACAAAUGAUAGUGAAGACACAUCCACUCAAAAUCAAUGGGAUGCUGCAAAAGCAGUGCUCAGAGGGAAAUUCAUAGCAAUACA